ensembl:lncRNA
GUUAUUGUGUCCUUGCAGACGAGUCUGUUAAGUUGAAGUCCUUGGUUUACAAAAUCCUAACCUGACAGAAAAUAGAAGAAACGCAAAUUUCACCCUGGUCUGUUAUUUUAUAAUUAAGGAGAAAGACAGAAACAUGGUGCAACCUUCCAUUUGGAUUCAGAUGAUUUAUAUUAUAUUUUGCCCAAAAUAACAGAUUUUUAUUACUAUUAAUACGUGCCUAUUUCUUUAAAGUUGAGAUUUCACUCAAUAUUAAGCAAUGAGAUCCUUUUUUUCUCAGUAUGUAGACAAGGUCACUGUUUAAAAGAACAAUGGCACAAAUGUUCUGGUUCCACUUAUGUGCAAUAUCAAGUUUACUGGAUUUGGCUUUCUCCUUUCGCGUGUUUCACAAGGAUCCGCAAACUCGGUCCCCCGGCGGCGCUCCAGCAGCCGUGGGCUGACUCAAUCCCAGAAUGAUGAGUACCAUGUGGAACUUUGAAAAGCAUCGCCACCUAAUCACCUUUGUGUUGCACAACAGCCGCAUGCAGCUGGUUAGAGAACGGAGUGAUGGAAAGAAACAGAAACCCAGACACUAACAUUUGGGUGCACAUUAAUGCACUGCACAUGCAGAUUGGGUCUUUUGCACAUUUUCUCUCCAGGCUUUGCCUUUGUCUCUCUUUCUCUCCGGCGCUGGCUCUACUGGCAGAGCAGCAUGUGAACGAUGCCCCUCACCGCAGCUAAGAGCGGCGGGUAGACGGCUGUCUGUGUGACGGCUGUGGUGUCCUCGGCUGAGACAAAGGGGAACUUGGCAGGCUGCUGCGCUGCGGUCGGAUCAAACGGGCCUUGUUUAUUGGACCUCUCCCUCUUUGCUCUGCGCUCAUCGGAGGCCGUGUGUGAGACUGCAGCGCUGAAGUGUCUGAGAGAUCUGCUCUCCCCGAGAAGACGGGAACUAUUCAGACCACACACAGGGGCGCUUCAAACCGCCACAAAGGAGGACUCGGAAUGAGGCGGACACGCUCGCUGGGCAUGUGCUCUUCCUACUUAGUAUCUGGGUUGAUGGUACAACUUCACACGCAGCAUUUCUCUCACAUUUUCUUUGCUUUUAGUCCGCCGUUUCUUAUGGUCACAUAUAGCUCCCAUAACCAACCCCUUGUCGUUCUCUCUUUCUGUCGCUACACUCACUCAACAACAAUGUGGUGCUACCGCUCUGUGUUUUCCCAUGGUGCCAGCAACGGAAUGUGCGCCUGUUAAAGGUGAUAUAUAUAUAUAUUUGCUAUCGGGCAAAGAGAGAGGGCCUUCACUACUGCUUGAUUACGGAGAGAAGGGAACAGCCGAGGUUGAACACCACUUCCCAGAGGCAUUUUUCAUCAGCCUUCACUCCAUGUGCAGGAAUGAUGUCUGAGAGUCGUAAAUUUGAGACUCCUACUAAAUGAAAUAACAACAUAACAGUCAAACAGGCAGUCGGUAUUGUGCACAAACACGUGUUGGUGUUUUUAAAAAACACAGAGUGUGAUAAGGGAGAGAUCAGCUUGAUAAGUUUGAGUGAAAGGUGUGGAAGGAAGAUCAGGUGUGGACAGGUUGCUGUCUUAUCCUUACAUCUAUCGCUGGGUUCCCAGAGACCUAUUGGCACUCAAGGCUGACACAUUUACGGUAUGGAAGAUUUGCUUUCAAAGUUGUGACUUCAGGGGAGAAGAGUAGAGAAGGUAAUUGUGCGUUCCCCUAUCCGAGCCCCUUUCCUCUAAAUGUUAUGUGUUGCAUGUUCUUAUUCUCCCACAUCCUCCUAUCGCUGCCCUUGAUUCCCACGGUAAGCACCAGCGCUGAUGGGAAAGAUUCAAAAACACAGGGACACUCAAAAAAUUCCAGGAUUCUUGUGGUGUUGUAUGUUAAAGAAGAACUGGAAGUGGAAGAACUGUAAAUUUGCAUUCUUAUAAUUCUAUAUUCCACUUUUCUAAAGUCUCUCCAUUGUAAACAUGGGAACAUAUUCUCAUGUCCGUACACCUCUAAUCAUGCUGCAUAUCGCAGUGGCCUCAGUUUUGGACAGUGUUGAAUUGUAAAUUAGUAAAUGUGUUUUACUGGAUGAAGAUAAACGUGAAGCAACCCCUCAGGUUCAGCCCCCUCCAAAAUACUAUUACUGUUUUAUAUUUAGAAAUUCAAAGAGGCCAAAAUGAUUCUGCUGUUCAAAAGAUAAGAUGGUUGUAUUUUGCCUGAUAUAUUAUUUUUUUUCCUGGAAUUAGUUACAGGAUUCAGUAUUCAUUUAAUUGGGCACAAGAGUUGUUUGUUUCAAGAGUUGUUUGUUUUCUGAAGGUUCCACUGUUUGUAGAAGUUUUGUGGCAUGUUUGGACCACAACUGUUGAAAAAGUACAUGCCACACUGAAACACAACUUCACCUGUGCUUUAACUGAUAUGAGGGUACCCGCAUGAUGUGAAUACUGCAAUGUCUUAGUCAUUCCACCAUAAUACAGCCCCACACAGCCCCUUAAUGCUGAUCAUUUGAGCCAUUCUCAGGGAGACACUCAAUGGCGCCCAUUGAGAAAUUACAAUAACGAGGAAGUUCUCACACAACAAACGACUUCCACGUAUGCUCAGCCAAGGCCACUGAGCACUCUUAUCUCUCCCUCAUCGAUCCUGAACCUCAGAAAGCAAAUGUUCCCACACAUAGUCCCUCCACCUGGGAGCAUGAACAAAUACACACAGCCUACCACCUGCACGUGGAGCAGUAGAGCUUGGAUGGACACAUUGAGCGCUCAUUCACUAACGUGGAAGAGACUGGAACCUGCUCACAGUGGCCUAGCUGUGCUUUAUGUGGUAGGGAAAGGAAAAUAAAGAGAGUGGAGGGGGGGAUGUGACUGGACGAUGGAGCACGUUUAGGAUGUGGAGUCAUUGAGGUUCAUAAAGCCAAAGCGAUUGUCCGACACAGAGCAUGUGUUUCUGUCAUCAGGAGGAUUGUAUGCCCAGAGUGCCUGACACUUCAGGAGUUUUUGUAGCUUUGAACAUGCCAGCAUUUGAGCCACAGCCCCCAUCAGGGCACAGAGAUGAAACAGGGUUUGGCCUCGUGAAAGCAGGGGUAAAGAUCUCGUGUGAGAAACACGUGUGUGGAGAAGACCAGACAUCCAAACAAGCCACAGUGUGAAACAAAGAAACCCUCACCUGCUCAAAGGUUUCACUCAACUCGCCCAAUGUCAAAACUAUCCUUUCCGAAUACCACAGUAAUUAGAAUGUGAAAGCUUUAGCUGUAUUACAACCAGAAUUGUACUCAGCUUACAUAUUUCACUGCCAUUUAUGCUCACAGAAUGGAAAACAGAUCUGGUAUUAAUAAUCUUACACAGUAAAUCACUAUUUUAUAAUCAGAAUCAGAAUCUAUUUCUGGCCAAAUAUCCACCACCCACUAAACACUCCUUUGUCCAAGACAUGACAUGAUAGAGCAUGUAUUUUGCGAGGGCUGCGUUGAAAAGGAAAUCCAGCUAUUAGUCCCUCUGGCCCCUUCACUGCUGUCACAGGAGAGACUUUCUGCAUUCAAGGAUUUCGUUUUCCACAUUUUGCCAUUCUUUGAUGUCUCGUUUUUGAUCGCAUCUGAUUACUAUUCAAACAGUGCCUGCGCAUUCUUUCAUGUAGCCCUGAUUUUUGAAACCACAGGGGCGGUGGUGCCUAAUUGUGGUGUGUGAGAUGUGGUUUAUUUGAUUGGGUAUUUAUAACAGAUACAGGAAUUCAGUUCAGUGUUUCUAUGCAAUCCUGUUUUUUGUCUUCUAUGUACACUAACUCUCACAGCCUAAUCUAGAUCAUUCCUACACACUGACAUUGGGAUUAAAACAUGGAAACGUUAGGAGUGGAUGCUCAGGUUUCAGAGGAACUUCAAACAGUCUGGGACGGGAGGCUAAAUGAGAUGACCCCAUGUGAAGGAGAGAAAUUCCCCAGUAUACGGGGGCGUAGGCAACCCACAUCCCCUAUUUGUGACCUCCUCGCUCCUGCGCCUCAAGCCCCACUGUGAUUGCAUUGACCCUCUUCCUCCUUAUACCCUUAAGGCUGCUCUUAUUGUAGCAAUGUGGGACUCCAGUGCUUCCUCCUCCCUAUUUGUCCUCGAGGAAGUUGGAGAGAGCAGGGAAUUGGAACAAGCUGUCGAAACAGCCUUUCCAUGGGAGCAGGUCAAAGAGACCCCCAAGAUGGCCUUUCUCAUAUAUGUGGGAAAUCCACAUCGAAAGCCCACUGGUAAACAGGAAGACGUCUGUGUCCCAUCUAUUCACUAAUAUUACUAAACAUAUAUCAGUCCAUAGACGGGGAGGAAAUUCAGUGUGACGGAUCUGACAGCAGCAGACGCAGCGUGUUUAAAAGAACAUAUUAUGGUUUGGGCCAGUAUAGUAAUAUACGUGAUUACAUUAGUCAAUGUUGACUAUCUGCGCUGUUCACUGUAUACUGCGAUUGUUGUUGUUUUAGUAACGUAUCUGACGGCAUGCAUGUGAAUUGGAGGUUGGCAUCCACCAGCUUGAUUCGCAGAACGAUUCCCAGUAAUUAUGCCCCAUAAGGGAGCCAAUAGAGUAAUUAGGGGUUACUACGGAUUGGACCACGGCUAGGAUCCCCCAGGGACUUUGUGCCUCAACAUGUUCACCAGAGUGUGAGAACCUCAGCUCAUGAGCUCACAUAAACACAUGCAGUUACUCCCAAUGCAGCACCACAUCGCAAUCUUACAUGAAUAUCAAAUUAUAUUUCAUUUGUAAAUUAUGUUUAUUCACAAAAGCAGUAGUAGUUACACAUUGCACAUACAUGACCCCCCCACACACACACACCCUUAAGUUCCCACUCCCAAAAUCAGCCAAAGGACAGAACUGAUCGCACCGUCUCAGUUGCCAAAGAUCACAUUACAGUAUUAGUAGCUCAAGUAUACACAAAGUAAUGAAAUAUGGUGCAGGAGGUACAACCAUAAACAAGUAGUGAAUCUUAGAGAUUGGAAAUGACUGCUUUUAUUAAUAUGGUAUGACACAAUUUUGAUUAGGGGACUUUUAUAGAACUUUUGUCUGAAUAUUGUCACCCAGUGAUUUGUCACUUGAAAGCAGGACCGCAACAUAUGUGUAAGAUCUGCUGGUGAAUUGUGACUUUUAUUGCAGCUAUCCUUUCUACUAAAGUGCAUUUUUUUAGAGUUAGAAUAGUGCAUGCAAUGCACUACCUUGAAUUGUAGUAAAAGUAGUUGCUGGUUCCAAACUAAGUCUGGUGUGUUUGUGGUAAAUUAGUUUUCUCAAUCCAUUUUGAUUUUCACAAUGUUAGUUUCGAUAAGAUCAUUUGAUGUAAUUGUGAUAUAAAUGAUUUUAUCCGUAGUGGUGAGUGCAAAUGGGAGGGAGGGAUAUUAAAUGUAUUUAAUAUAUCCUCUGAGCUUCCAAACACCCCACUAGUGUAUAAUUGACCGAUGUUUACCAUUGUUAAGCCAUAGCGAAAUGUCUAGUCUAGAUGGGGAGCAAAUUAUUCAUUUAAAAAAAGGAUUAAAUGUUUUAUCUACAUUUUCAAACACAUUUAAAAUAUUUCCUCGGCAUUCCAGAUAAACUUCAGGCUAUGACAUUGUGAGAAGCAUCUGAAGUUUGGGGUCUCGUGACACACAGUGCAAUCGUCGCUCUUUCCUUUGAGCAGAAGGAUAUGACUCAAGCAACAGGUGAUUCCAAGACGUUUUUCUACUCAAAGCAGCAGGUGCCUCCCUCAGUCCAAACCACCCAGCAGGAGCCUCUGCUUUCUAGUGUGAGAACCACAGAGAAGGUCCAAGUACAGACGAGAGCUGCACCUCCUUCUGGCAUUUCCAAAACUCUUUGAGUUUUCUGAUUAAGUUUGGCCACGCCCACAGUGAUGCUGUUAGGUUGCUAGUCAAAUAUUACAAAAAUAAAAAAUAUGCUUGCUUUGUUUCCACAGUGAUCGCACCCGAAUGGUGGCACCAGACACGGUCGUGUUUUGAAGAUAAUAUAUUCAACUUUUAAGUGGAUUGAUGAAUUAGUAGCAAAGGAAAAAAUGGUUAAGUUAAAUAUACACUUUAGUGUGGACUAGGUCGCAGUGGUCGAUGUCGCCUAAAGGGCAUAGGUGCGUUCAUCGUGUAAGGACCAUCACUUAACUGACUUCUGUUUGAACUGCAGGGACCUGCAGUGACUAUCCCCGAUCCUGUAAUCUAGCCUCCAUCCUUCUUGUCACAGGUGUUCUGUUGAGAGUCAGUGCAACAACCUUAUACUCUGAUAGAGGGGGCAUUGGUGCCCCCCCCACCCUCCAGCUUUGAUGGUUGAGCGUUUGCAGGGCCUGACAGCUGCUCUUAAAUUAGAGACGAGGAGAGAACAGCACCCAGGAAUGUCUGGAUUGUCUGGAUUGCCUUUCUCUUCCGCAGAGUCCUGGGAAGAUGGCUGCAGUUAAGUCGACGUGUUGAAGGCAGUGGAUAUUAGAUAAUUAAUAAAACUGAACAGCAGGGAUGGAGGAAUUGAACAUGUCAGUUAUUGGUGACGGUCGAGUGUUGUGGGCCCAAUAUUCAGGCCGUCCUGAGGUGCCACCGCCUCUCUUGCAUUACCGCACCUCCUUCAUUAGUUGCUCGGGAGACAGUGACCAGGUCAUUGAGGUCAGUGUGUCCACAGGCAUGGUUGUAAAAUUUCCCAGGCAAUAAAGUCUGCAUCAGUAAUGGUGUAGUGACCAUUCAGGAGGAGGACACGGGCAAAACACAGGUCAAGACGGGCGGUGAGGGAGGAGCAUCGCAGAGUUUCCAGAUAGCUGAAUCUUCAGUCAGUCAUGAAGGACUCACAUGAAGUGGAUGAACCCAGCAGGGCCAUGGGAGAGGAAAACAAGAGAUUUACAGGGUGGGGGGGACGAGAGGAUGGGCAGGAUAGAACAGGCAAGGGAAGAGAGAUUACAGGGAUGGGCUGAGUUUAGAGGCACAGGCUUCCAGAUAGUGAGGACGCUGGAUCUAACCGUCAUGCUGAUUUUCUCCUCCUGCUUCCAUGUUCCAAUGUGUGUGUGUUGUUUUUUUCUCAAUAUGUUUAAUAAAAUUGGAAUUACUGCAAGCCCUCCUCUUUCCUCUGCUCCAGGGUUUUGUGAUGUGGAAUGUCUGCUGCUAUCAGCCACCCUUUCUACACACACCGCAACCAAGCCUAUUUGAAAGAGCUGCUAACAGCAUCAGCAUGCACUUGACCUAUGUUCCUCAUUUGCAAAGAUCAAAAUGAUAACCGGGACAUAAUAGUAGGUAAACAAAAAUUAAAAUUCCAAUGACCCAUGUUAAUUUCUGUAUAUAAUACAGAUUGCAAUUAAAAUCGAGGGCUUGUAUGAGCCUGCCAUAACAGAUAAUCUGCCUGAGUAUAUGUGUUUGGAAUCAACUUUAAUCAAAGUGAUAAACAAACCUUUAAGAGUUUCCUUUUUAAAGCAGGACAGUCAGCCCACAGGCACAGAGCACUUAAACCAUGUCGACCACUAGCACUUCACUCUAGUCCCACCCUGUCUUAUUCCAUUACUGCCUUCCUUAUCACUCAAGUGUGCCUUCAGGCCGUGGCCAGAGGAAGGAAUGUGGCGUGUACCUUUUAAUCUGUGUCCAGUGAACCUGGCGUUUCCCAAAUCCGCCCACUUUCCUGGACUCGAGCCGUAAACUGACCGGAGCGCAUCGGCCACUUUUUAAUGAAGAACAACAGCUGCUGUGGUGUGUCCGUGUACGGUAACCUCUUUGACCGGAUCGGCCUCUUCUGCUGCGUUCCACAAUCCAAAUGUGAUGAAGAGGAGGAUAACCGCACAUGUAAUCGCACACUGCUUCAGUGGGCUUGGACAAAAGAGCCGGGGGCUUCCAUGACGGACUUUGCAAUCAGAGACUGCUUGGCCGACAAAGCCAGAAGGCCUGUUGUUUCUGGCAAGGAUUCACAUUGGACGGCGUGGGCAAUAUGAAUGCCAGACACUGAAAGAGCUGCUGUCCAUCUACAGAGAAAUAAUGACAAGUACACGCAUGCAACAAAUACAUUCACCUUGUGUUAUUUUACAACAAGACGUGACGAGAACAAAACUGCAGUAUAUGACAUCUCUGAUUUAAACUACAUGGAGAUCUGUGUUUGUUUGAGUCAAAACCACUCGCAUGAUGUGCAUGUGUACGUGUAGCUGGGUUUGAGGGGUGGACAGGUACAAACUAAUUAUCCCGUUCUCUCUUUGUUUUGUCAGUAAUUAUACCUAAGCGGUACUGUCAUCGUUGCUCACUGGCUGUUGUUUUGAUUGCGCACCAGUCAGGUUUAGUGUUUUCUUCCUUUUCUUUUCCCGAGGAAGAUCCUGGCUCAGGAGGGCUCUGCUGGGACACGUAAAGGCACAGGCGAGGCUGUGGGUGCCGCCUGUCUCACCUUGGUGUGUAAGUGUGGGAACCACUCAGCCGGCAGUAGUGCAUGAGUAACGAGGACCCUGAGGGAGUGUGGCGUAAUCUCCGCUUAAUGCUCUAGUCUCUUUCUCUCACUCGGAGGAACACACACAUUCACUCAGAAGACUGAUUGCAUUGAUGCAUUUAUCUCGAUCAGCUUUCAAUGGAAACAGCAAUCUUCAAAAGAAAGCUCGCCCUGAAAUCACUUGGAUACAGACGUAUUUGUAUUGUAAAUAUAAUCACAGACUGGAAAAUAGCACCUUUGGUUCCAUUGUUGGACCACAUUUACUGAACUUUGCUGAAAGAGCGUCCAUGACAAAUCCCAUUACAAAACAAAACCAGUUAAACGAGUAUGUCUCACAAAUUUUGAGCCAAGUUUUGUUUGAGGGAAUUAAUAACUCGACAAUGGAUACGACCACUUGAUAAUUAUUGACACAAGUAUUAUUAUAAUUAUUACCACAACUGAAAUGCAAGUUUUACCAUUUUUAAAAAGUAACUCACAAUAUACGUUUUGGCUGUAACACUGUCUCUUGUACAAUCUCAGCUUGGAAAGGCUCCAGCCCCAUAGAACCCCGCAGAGAAUAUAUUCUGGCACAGACAAUAGAUGGUUUAUUAAAAUACCAUGAACAAUAUAAUUCCUGUCAGAUUUUACUAUCGUCUUCAGCUUUCGGAAGAUUGUUGAAAUAUGGCAUCAAAACAACUGAAACCCACACAGCCAUUGAUAACCAAAUAACAUAUUGCUAGUUAAGUGUCCAAGCAGAAAGGGAUGUUCCCCUAAACGAAUGCAAUUUGCAAAACCAUGAGGUUAUACAGGAAUUUUUACACAUAUUCACCAGUGUAUGCUGUGCUUGAUGGAAAAUAAUUGAUUUGCCGGUGUAACGUGACCAUCUAUGUGGAGGAAUGUGAAGUAAUGACAAUAAAUUGCUUUUCUAAUACAGAUUUUAUAGAGCUGUGGUGGUGGGGCGGUUGGGGGCAGUGGGCUGGCAGCUGUUGCUGGUGUGCGGGGGCCCUCAGGUCUCGGCCUACCCCUAAUGGCCAGACCAGCUGUCGGAGUUCUGUCUGCAGGGGCGCGGGGCUUCAGGAGGCGGGGAGGGCAUGAGAACUUCCACCCCCCUGGCCUGGGGGGCGGGUCCCCGCCUUGUCUGCCCUCCUCUGAAAGGGGGUGAUUGAUGGCGCAGGGUUGACACCAUGCUUCCACAACAAUUGGCUCAGGAGGGACAGAGGAUGAACAGAGAGCUUGGGACCCCUCCACGUCUUUCUCCUCUGGUUUUCAGAGGCAAAUGUGGGAUCAGUCGCAAUUAUAAUUCAGUCAUUUUUCUCAAUAUGUCUUUUAUUUGACAUUUUAGUGCAGCAUAUGCCACUCUGAAUACCUUUCAAGACUGCCACUGCAAUGAUUCUGCAGACAGACUCAGGAUAUGCUCUCAUUGUCAGAUUACAUGGGUUUGAACAAGUUUUUUGUCAAAUGGCUUAAAUGCCCCUCUGCCUAUCGUUAAGAUAAUCCCUCUUGUUCCAGCAGGCCUUCGGUGCCCCCUUCCUCACACCAGUUCAAUCAAUCCAGAGAGGAAGAGUGGAGAUUUGCGGGGCUUCCAGGGUGGAUAGCGCCGCGGUCUCAAGCGUGUGCGUCAGGUCAUCGGUCGGUAUCAGCCCAAAGUCUCAACACCGGGGCCUGCUCACACAGACCUGACCUUUUUGCACCAAACCCCAGGAUCCUCCCUGGAUCCCUUUCAGCAAGUUGCCAGCACCUCCGUUCUCCUUCAAGAUUUACAGCCCCGCAGAGGGAUAGAGGAGGUGGAAGGAGGAGGGGGGGGAGGGGCGUGGGGGGACACUGUCCGGCAGCUGUUCGUAGUGGUCUUAAGUAGCUAUUUCACACGGAAACCGAGUCAUAGCUUUCUGGAUUCCUCCAGCUGGCCAGGCUCCAGUCUGAAAUGCAUUCCGGCACAGAAAUGCCUUUGCACUCUCUGCCCUCCAUUCUCACUGCCCUGUGGAUGCAAAUGCCUCCAGACCCUCCACUGAGUCGCAGUCCACUGUACCCCCCCCCCCUUGUACCGAAAAAUGAAAGAGAGCAGUUCUCCAAUCCUGAUCAGUGAGUGGGGGUCUUGAUCUUGGAGAGAAGGAUAUUAAAUUCCAUACCAUCACUGUGUCGGGUCCUAUACUGUCUUCUGAUUGGUACAAUUUAGGAAAAAACGCGGGACGGUAAGUCGGGAGAAGAUUCCCAUAGGUAAAGCUAUCUGACCCGGUCCCUUGCACAGACAAGUCCUGUGUACACUUACGGAAUUUAAUGGCCAUUUAGAGAGUUUGUGUGAAAGUCAAACACUUUUUCCCACAAUCCCAAAAAAGAUCCAUCAUUCACAUGUGUUUACUUUAGGCAAAAAAGCCCCAGCCUCUCAUUCACUGUGUGUGUGUAGGUGUGCGUCCGUGUGUGUGCGUGUGUGUGUGCUUGUCACAGAGAGGUUGGGUGGAAGAAAAGGAAGAGAAUAAUCAUGGUGAAAGAGGACACUGAAAGUAUGUACCCAGUUUUUUUGUGAGAUAUUAAUUGGUCUGGGACACCGGGCAGGCAAAAUGUGUUUUGAAUGGUUUGACUUUACGACACAAUGAAAAUUAGAACAAAACCAGAGGAUAAGAAUGUAGCUACAUGAACACAAACUCUUUACAUUGAAUUAAAAGGCAUGAAUUCAAGUACUCCCUGUCCACAUUCCUUUAGUAUUGAAAAUGUAGAAGAUUAAAAUCUACAUAAACACAAAUACCACAGGAAUGUCUUUACUGUUUCUUUGAUGUGUUUUUUCUUCAAACAGUAAUACGAGUGUGGAAAGAGGGCUGGACAACCAAAAGUGUGGAAUCCUGGGAAAAGCAGAGGUGUUCCUUUAGAUCACAACAUCCCACAACAGAGCAGAAACAAAGAUAAGUUAUCUUAUCACUGUGGGACACUGCGUGCAUGUGUCCAUUGGUGCUGGUUGUGCUAUUGUCACACAUUGAGACAACAUCAGAAGUGUGCCUACGGUCUCUUUAAACCACAGAAGCCCACUACACUUGAAGCUGAAGAGCUUACCCACAACGGCUGAAUGAUAUAGAGAUCAUACAAUUAUGAAGCAGCCAUAAAGGAGACAAUACAGAUCAUCGACCUGAAUGCUGCGCUGCAAUUGGCCCUGACGUCUGUCCAUAGGGGGUCUCCGCUGCUGAUUGGCCAUGACCGGUUUUGUAGAGGGGCUUCUAAUCCUCUCCACACUCUCUGUGGGUGCUCUCGGGGGCUUUUCCCACAUAAAUCAGUCUGGCCUGGGUGGUAAAGUCAUCACGUCCACUGUGUCCACAAACACUGCCUGUUAGCACCCCUAUCACAAGGAGCGUGCUAGCUCUGAAAGGCCACCGCCAUUGAAAGAAAGCCAAUGGCUGACCACGCCACACUAUGCGUAUAGGCUCUUAUUGGGAAGCCCACUUUAGCACGUUAUCCAACCCAGUCUCACAGAAAAACGUGUAAUAGCUACGUUGUGGAACGUGGUGUUGUCACGCUUUUGGGGAGAAAGCGUGACAUACAACGUUUCGUUUGUAACUAGGUCACGUGACUAUCAACUUUCCCUCAGCUCAAAAAAAAGAAAAUGGCGGACUGUCGGUCUACUAUCUGUGAAAAACACAAUAUUUUAAGAAAGCAUCAGCAUUUGUGUGCAUUUCGAUGGCAUUUCUAGCGAGAAGUAUGCGUUAUAUUUUUAUAAUCAGAGAAUGUAGAAGACCUUCCGUUUAUUAGUUUGUAGUGAGGUAGUUGCAAGGCUAUUGUAAAUGAACGGGCCAAAAUAAAACAUAGUAUUGUCACGAUUUGGGGGAGAAAGCGUGAGAAUACCACGUUGGUCCAACGUAGCUAUUACACGUUUUGCUGUGAGACUGGGUUGCGUUAUCAUAAAAAAAAAAACAUUGCCCCUGUUGUAAAGCUACCAUGAGCCUUUCAUGUCAACAUUAUCACAUGAGAGGCCUUCAAGCAGCACGCCACUUUGAGGAAAAUGUCACAUGAGCCUUACAAGCUUUUCCUAUGUAAUCUUAAUUAAUGCCCCAUUCAUAUUCUUGACUACUCACAAUAGCACGGGCACAGUUUAAAACCUCUGUUUCAUUAUUUAAUUCAUUUAAAAUUACUUGGUUACGUUAUAUCAACAAAACUACUUGAUAAGUUUAGGAAAUGAUCACGUUAUUAUGGUUACCUCUCAAGCCCUGUGUAGUUUUAAAGUGUGAAGAUUGACCAAGUGUCUAUGACGUGAGGCACUGGUAACACCCAUUUUUUGGUUCGGGUUAUACGACCUGACCAAUGGCCUUCCCUGGACCUAACCACUCAAGGUCAACGCCCGACCUCAAACAGCCACGCAGCUACAAGACUGCUCACGAGUAUGCAGACUUCUAUAUUUUAUUACAGAGGUAGUAUUUUAUGUGCGUCACACUGACCCCUGCAGUGUAUGGACAGACGUCCCUGCUGUGUGAGUGAAAAGCAGGGCCGGGUCAAGAAGGACACUGAUAGGAAGAGUCGUCUGUACCAUUUUGCCUCUCACCCAUGGGUGGUCUUCCCUUAAACGGCUUUGGUCGGCUUUCCCUCUUGACACUGCAAACGUAUAGUAUCAUUCACAUGCAGUUCUAGAUAAAAGCCCUUUUGUUGGGUAUGUGCUUCACAAUGGUGCUUGUUAUCCCAAGGUAUCGCAUGCUCAAUGGAAGGAAUUACAGAGUACUUUGUACAGCUGGGUAUACAAAAGCAGAAAGAUGGUGCUAAAAAGGAAAGUUCUAAAAUAAAUGUUUACACUAAGAUGUCCUGAUUACCACGUUCUUACGAUCACUUUGGUGUAAUUUUAACUACAGACACAUCGUACAACCACACACACACAUGUGGCAGCACACUGCAGAUAUUUUGCAAAAUAAAACACUUCAUUCAAAACUUUUCAAAAAUUGAUGGAAACCCAUUUUUGUCACUUUAUUGCACGCACAGGGUUUAUUUGGUCAAACUCUCUUUAAACCAGUUCCACAUUCCUGUGCUCAGUCUAAAACACGUUAACCAUUUAUAACUCACUAAUUAUACAGUCUAGGUUUUAUUCUACGACAAUAUUGUGAGUGUGUAGUACACACAAACCAGGCAAGCACCCAGAAGUCCAAAAGUCCAUUUUUCACUGAAAUUCGCAACAAUGUCUCUUGUCAAAACAAUAUAGUACAUAAGAAGUAAAAAUAUUAAUGGAGACAAAAAGAAAGAACGAUUAUGGUUCAAAUAAAUUGCUAACACUGCUUGGUUGGCUCCCACCUGUGGUCUUUUUACAGUGUUUACAUCCUGAUUCAGUAGGGUUCUGCUUUAUGUUUCCUUUUAGUGGGUUGGCUAUAAGCUAUAAGCAAUGCUCACAACUGUUCAAAGAGAGACACAGAGUUAUAAAUCCUGAGCUGUCGGAUCCACGUUUGCUUGAGAUUCCCACCUCGGAGUCCUGCGCAAGAACUUUGUCGCCAAGGCUUCCACUCUCACACUUUCCCUCUAGAACAAACAAACAAGGACUAAUUUCCUCUGUUUGUGUGUAUGUGUGCGUGUGACUGGGACGAGGGGGGGUAGGGGGAGAGCGAUAACGAGAAGGGAAGAUGAUUAGGAAUUCCUUAAAAUUUCAAUUUACAGACAACUGCACGAUAAAUGUCGCACAAAGGAACCAGAGGCCGUCCUUCUACUGAUCUUCGCAGGAGACGUAGUCCACUGUUCCUUUAUUUCUGAAACAAUCAAGGAAAGGUCAUGUAUCCAGAGGGAAGGGCUGGAGCAGCCACCUCCACUAAUGAGAUCAGAGAGAAAGAAGAAAAAACAGCAAUUUUCCCAAUGGCUCUUCAUUUUCCAGGGAGUCAAGCGGCACAGAUUGUAAUCCUUUCGAACAAAGCUUUUCAGCUUUUGUGGAGAACACUGGAACUCGAUCUUUCAACAUCGCUCUUUCAAGGUUUUGAUGCAGCAAAUUUAGGGUUUGAGAUUUCAUUACUGAGAGAAUUAAGCGCAGAUGAAAUACCUGGACAUUAAAAUGAUCAUCAAAAUAAUUACAUUUCUUGAUGUAUUUUUUUGGGGUUGCUGUUUCUUCGCAUGCUCUGUGAAAAUUAUUACGCAAUCAUGAUUAAUACAUUCUUUGGCAGUUUUAUUACAACACUGAGACUGGUAACAGACUCAACUUGUGAUCGUUUUGUUGUGAAAACCAUGUACAAGUCAACUGGUUUUUCAUGAAAUGAUGAAGGUCUUCAGGUUUACAAGACGUAACGUAAUUUGCAUUUAGCACACUGAAAAAUCUUCUUUUGGGACCUUUUCCAACUGGAAGCCAAAAUACCGGCAACGCAUGCCAGAAUAAGCCGCCAGUGCACAUCUCCAGAGGGUGAAAGAGUUAUUUCACAACCAGAUGAAAACACAGAAUACAGCUUAUUGCACCAACUUGCAAUAUACAUAAACCAUAGUAAAUCUUUCUCCUUGCCUCUAUAGUUUUCACUUUCGUCAGGAGGCGCAGUCGGAAAAGCAGGCAUAAUCUUGAAUACGAGCAUGCAUUCAGAUUGCAUAGUUGACUGAGUUGCAAUAUAAUCCCAAGUCUGAAGAACACAGGACAAAAAC